rnacentral:snoRNA from 1 species
CCCUGCAUUGGAAAGUGAUCUUGGCUACUGGUAUCCCAGUCAUUAGCAGUGAAGGGAAAGGAUGCUGGGAGGUGUGUUCUCUGAGGUUGGGGUAUUCUGUCCUGACCCCUUCAGAGCCUGGACCUUUCCUAUC